GGGCUGGUGAGCUCAGUCAGUUGAGCGUGGCACUAAAAAUGCCAGCCAAGGUCGCGGGUUCGAUUCCCGUUCGAUCCG
rnacentral:tRNA from 1 species